rnacentral:rRNA from 1 species
AUUGAACGCUGGCGGCAUGCCUUACACAUGCAAGUCGAACGGCAGCACGGGUGCUUGCACCUGGUGGCGAGUGGCGAACGGGUGAGUAAUACAUCGGAACGUACCUUAUCGUGGGGGAUAACGCAGCGAAAGCUGUGCUAAUACCGCAUAAGCCCUGAGGGGGAAAGCGGGGGAUCGAAAGACCUCGCGCGAUUAGAGCGGCCGAUGCCUGAUUAGCUUGUUGGUGGGGUAAAAGCCCACCAAGGCGACGAUCAGUAGCUGGUCUGAGAGGACGAUCAGCCACACUGGGACUGAGACACGGCCCAGACUCCUACGGGAGGCAGCAGUGGGGAAUUUUGGACAAUGGGGGCAACCCUGAUCCAGCAAUGCCGCGUGAGUGAAGAAGGCCUUCGGGUUGUAAAGCUCUUUUGUCAGGGAAGAAACACCGGCUCUAACACAGUCCGGGAAUGACGGUACCUGAAGAAUAAGCACCGGCUAACUACGUGCCAGCCGCCGCUGUAA